rnacentral:lncRNA from 1 species
UACACUCGAGAAGCGUUUCAGAUAGAGGGAAUGCAGAUUUGUGGAUGACCACUGACAGUGGAGCAAAGGGAGACGUCGGGGUUGAGGCGAGUUUCAAGCAUGAACCUGCUUCAAUUCCGUGGAAGCGUAGGAGGAGUUUGGUGGCACAUUGCUCGGUAAGAUAUGAGAGCCACUAGCUAGAAGUUUGGGGCUCCAUGUCGUCCCAAGGGGAUGUGUCGCCGAAGGUUGGUCGCGCCGACCCUCUGAGGAUGCAGAUGGUGAGCGAGAGUUCAAGCAGGAAAGGUGAAGUAUCGUGACCUAAUCCACAAUAUCUUUUUAAGGUAUUGGGCUUUAAUUCAUUUGGGAUAUUAUCAUAUGGAUUCAUUUAGUGUAUUUUAGGCUAAGUGACAUUGGGUUUAAGUUCAAGAUAAAUAAAUAUAAGGUAAAGCCUUGUUAAUUAAUAAUUGGGUCUAAAUGAAUUAAAUUGUGGGCAUUCGUUUUAUUUAAUGGGGUGCAAAUAUGGAUGUGAAUAUAGUUCGGUUGCAUCGCUUGAAAGGUAAUUAAUUUAAUAAGAAUUAGAUGUGCUAAUAAAGUUAUACGGAUUUAGAUGCCCAAAUUUAUAAUAUUGUAUGGUUGCCUAGUAGAGUGAUGGACUUAAUGGAUUAAGUCCUUAAUGAGUUAAGUGUUUGUAAUUAACCCAAGUAGUCAUUUUAUGUGAAAACCCUAAUGGGUCUAAUGGACCCUAAUUGACCCAAUUAAAACCCUAAAAGGGCUUAAUGAUAUUCUAUUGGGCCUUGAUGGUUGAGUAUUAAUGGGCCAUCCAAGAUCAAGCAAAUGGACUAGAAUAAUUAAUGGGCUUUGAGGUAAGGCCCAUAUGAGGAGUUGGGCCCAAUUCGGAAAACUGGGCCAUAUGUUGGGCUUUGACUCAUGAUAGGGGUAGAGCAGUCUUUUACCCAAGCAUGGACUUAUGGGUAUACGUGUUGGAACCCAAUUAUUAAUUGGGUGUUAUUUUGAUAUUGACAGAUCGGGAAUCUGACAUCCAGCAGCUAUGGUUUUGUCAGCGGGACUUCAGCAGUGUGAGGUGAGUUACCUUCCAAUAGCAGUGGGUCUACGGCCACAAUGUCGACCCACCAGUAGGAGUUAUAUGAUUAGAUGAUUGUCUCUGUGAUAUUCAUCUAGGGUUGCUACUACCUGUGUUAUGUUUAUGUGCUAGUAUGAUAUGAUGCUAUGUGCUAGUGACAGUAGGGGAGAUAGUCCCCAGUUUACCGGUCGGUAGGGACGAAGGGGCGGUCAUGCCCAGCCAUGCUAGAUAGAUUAUGUGAUAUAUGUUAUAUGGUAGUAGUAGGGGGUGAAAUAGUACCCAACAUCUGGUCGAGAGGACCGAAGUGGAGACCAACACCAAGAUAUGCUAGUUAGUAUCCGGUCGAGAGGACCGAAAGGGAGGCCAGCACCCAGAUAUGCUAGCUAAUAUCCGGUCGAGAGGACCGAAGGGGUAGGUCGGGCACCCAGAUAUGCCUGACAAUAUAUGUAUGAUAUGUGGUUAUAUGGUAUGUGGUACAAUGGGGGAACUCACUAAGCUUCGUGCUUACGGUUUUUAGUUGUCGUUUCAGGUACCUCUUCAGCCAAGGGGAAAGAGCUGGCGCGGUAGCGGCAUAUCACACACACGCUCUUGUUUUUCCGCACUAUGAGACAUUCUGGGAUUUGUACUCUGAUAUUAUUAUGAUUUACGUUUUGGUUAACAGACACGACGCAUGUUUUAUUAAAUGAUAUGGUCGAAUGAUAUUUUGUUACAAACGUUUUGCAAAUCACUUAAUUAAAAAUGAAACUUUUG